rnacentral:rRNA from 1 species
CAGCCGUAAACUAUGCGCGUUAGGUGUAUCGGUGACCACGAGUUACCGAGGUGCCGAAGGGAAACCGUGAAACGUGCCGCCUGGGAAGUACGGUCGCAAGGCUGAAACUUAAAGGAAUUGGCGGGGAGCACCACAACAGGUGGAGCCUGCGGUUUAAUGGACUCAACGCCGGAAAUCUCACCGGAUAAGACAGCAGAAUGAUUGCCGGGCUGAAGACUCUGCAUGACUAGCUGAGAGGAGGUGCAUGGCGUCAGUGACU